rnacentral:lncRNA from 1 species
CGAUGGGCGCAAUGUGGCGCUUUGAUGAUGCGUCUUGGUUCGUGUGGCUUGAGCAAGUGGUCUGGUGACUGUUUAGAUUCCUACUGGUUAAGGUGAAUUAAGUUCUCAUUGAAUAUGAGACUUAAUUUUUAUUGAAUUCAGUAUUCAAUAUGACCAUCAUUGUCAUUGAAUUCGUUAUUGAAUUUUGUAUUCAAUAUAACAUUUCAGUUAGAAUUCUAAACAGGAAUAUAUACAAGUUGUGUGCUUUGUCUAAGACACACUGAAAAUUACACAUUCGUAUGGUUCAUAGCACACACAGACAAUUUCCUAACUUUGAAUCCCUGAGAACUCUUGUUUCAGGUAUUUUUUCAGGUGCUAGGCUAAUCCCGGCAAUACAAUCUGCUUAGGCUGUUGUACCCUGGGAAACAGACGGGUUCACCUGGGUGGCCCGAAAUCUGUUUUAAGGGAAGCGUGAUCUUCACGUGCCUCAGUCACCAUUGGUUUUUUCGUUUUAUUCCAUAUUUUUCUUUGUAACCUGUUCUUACUUU